ensembl:lncRNA
AUGAAACACAAUGGUGAUAGCCCAUGAAAUGCUUUUCAAUGUAAAAAAAAAGAAGAUUUUCUAGAACACAAUAAGAAACACAAAAAUAAUAUUAUUGAUUGUGGACACGUCUCAAUUGACACCCUAUUCCCUGUAUAGUGCACUUCAUUUGACCAUGGACUGAGCACAAUCAUUUGGAACGCGGCCCCUGUGCUUUGUCAGGGAGAUUAACGGACUUGGAGCAUGCCUAGAACGUUCUGUGGCCUCGGAGGGCCACGGUACAUGGCCUACUUCCCUGAACAGUUCUCAGAACCUGGUUUGUGGGACGGUAGAGCUGGCAGGGCCCUCAUUUAGGAGAACAACAUCCACAGAGUAAAACAACAUGUUCCUUUUGUUGUAGUAGUGUCUGUCGGUCAAUAACAGCAUGAUUGUUAUCCGGUCCGUUGUCUCAUCAUCUCUGGUUUCAGUGUUGUCCAUUUAGAGAAGUUAAUACUUUUAUGUCUUGUUCUGAAUUUGCUAUGAAAGAACUGGACAUACAGUAGAGCUUGACUUAAAACAUAGAGCUAGACAUAGAGUAGAGCUUGACUUAAAACAUAGAGCUGGACAUAGAGCUGGACAUACAGUAGAGCUUGACUUAAAACAUAGAGCUGGACAUAGAGCUGGACAUACAGUAGAGCUUGACUUAAAACAUAGAGCUGGACAUAGAGCUGGACAUACAGUAGAGCUUGACUUAAAACAUAGAGCUGGACAUAGAACUGGACAUACAUAGAGCUUGACUUAAAACAUAGAGCUAGACAUAGAGCUGAACAUAGAGCUGGGCAUAGAGCUGGACAUACAGUAGAGCUUGACUUAAAACAUAGAGCUGGACAUACAGUAGAGCUUGACUUAAAACAGAGCUGGACAUAGAGCUGAACAGAGCUGGACAUAGAGCUGGACAUAGAGCUGGACAUAGAGCUGAACAUAGAGCUGGACAUAGAGCUGGACAGAGCAAUUGGAUGUCUCCACGUUUAGAAAAAUACUUACAUGUGUAACGAAAAAGAUGUAUCCCUUUGAAAGACAUGACUUCUAGAUUUUAAAAAAGUGUUUGAUUUUUAUCAUGCAAAAUAUCUCUAUUGACGUCAAUAGAUUGUGGUGCUUUGAAAGUGUGUAGUCCUUGAUCCAAUCUAGCAACUCAAUACAUUGUUU